rnacentral:rRNA from 1 species
GUGGGGAAUCUUCCGCAAUGGACGAAAGUCUGACGGAGCAACGCCGCGUGAGUGAAGAAGGUUUUCGGAUCGUAAAGCUCUUUCGUUAGGGACGAACGUGCUCUUUGUGAAUAAUGAGGAGUAAUGACGGUACCUAAAUAAGAAGCCACGGCUAACUACGUUCCAGCAGCCGCGGUAAUACGUAGGUGGCAAGCGUUGUCCGGAAUUAUUGGGCGUAAAGCGCGCGCAGGCGGGAUAUCAAGUCUGUCUUAAAAGUGCGAGGCUCAACCUCGUGAGGGGACAGAAACUGGUAUUCUUGAGUGUCGGAGAGGAAAGUGGAAUUCCAAGUGUAGCGGUGAAAUGCGUAGAGAUUUGGAAGAACACCAGUGGCGAAGGCGACUUUCUGGACGAUGUCUGACGCUGAGGCGCGAAAGCUAGGGGAGCGAACGGGAUUAGAUACCCGAGUAGUCC